GUCUCUCUUGAGUGGAUCCUGAGUACGACGGAGCACGUGAAAUUCCGUCGGAAUCUGGGAGGACCAUCUCCUAAGGCUAAAUACUCUCUAGUGACCGAUAGUGAACCAGUACCGUGAGGGAAAGGUGAAAAGCACCCCGGAAGGGGAGUGAAAUAGAACCUGAAACCGUGUGCUUACAAGUAGUCAGAGCCCGUUAAUGGGUGAUGGCGUGCCUUUUGUAGAAUGAACCGGCGAGUUACGAUUUGAUGCAAGGUUAAGCAGUAAAUGUGGAGCCGUAGCGAAAGCGAGUCUGAAUAGGGCGUUUAGUAUUUGGUCGUAGACCCGAAACCAGGUGAUCUACCCUUGGUCAGGUUGAAGUUCAGGUAACACUGAAUGGAGGACCGAACCGACUUACGUUGAAAAGUGAGCGGAUGAACUGAGGGUAGCGGAGAAAUUCCAAUCGAACCUGGAGAUAGCUGGUUCUCUCCGAAAUAGCUUUAGGGCUAGCCUCAAGUGAUGAUUAUUGGAGGUAGAGCACUGUUUGGACGAGGGGCCCCUCUCGGGUUACCGAAUUCAGACAAACUCCGAAUGCCAAUUAAUUUAACUUGGGAGUCAGAACAUGGGUGAUAAGGUCCGUGUUCGAAAGGGAAACAGCCCAGACCACCAGCUAAGGUCCCAAAAUAUAUGUUAAGUGGAAAAGGAUGUGGCGUUGCCCAGACAACUAGGAUGUUGGCUUAGAAGCAGCCAUCAUUUAAAGAGUGCGUAAUAGCUCACUAGUCGAGUGACACUGCGCCGAAAAUGUACCGGGGCUAAACAUAUUACCGAAGCUGUGGAUUGUCCUUUGGACAAUGGUAGGAGAGCGUUCUAAGGGCGUUGAAGCAUGAUCGUAAGGACAUGUGGAGCGCUUAGAAGUGAGAAUGCCGGUGUGAGUAGCGAAAGACGGGUGAGAAUCCCGUCCACCGAUUGACUAAGGUUUCCAGAGGAAGGCUCGUCCGCUCUGGGUUAGUCGGGUCCUAAGCUGAGGCCGACAGGCGUAGGCGAUGGAUAACAGGUUGAUAUUCCUGUACCACCUAUAAUCGUUUUAAUCGAUGGGGGGACGCAGUAGGAUAGGCGAAGCGUGCGAUUGGAUUGCACGUCUAAGCAGUAAGGCUGAGUAUUAGGCAAAUACGGUACUCGUUAAGGCUGAGCUGUGAUGGGGAGAAGACAUUGUGUCUUCGAGUCGUUGAUUUCACACUGCCGAGAAAAGCCUCUAGAUAGAAAAUAGGUGCCCGUACCGCAAACCGACACAGGUAGUCAAGAUGAGAAUUCUAAGGUGAGCGAGCGAACUCUCGUUAAGGAACUCGGCAAAAUGACCCCGUAACUUCGGGAGAAGGGGUGCUCUUUAGGGUUAACGCCCAGAAGAGCCGCAGUGAAUAGGCCCAAGCGACUGUUUAUCAAAAACACAGGUCUCUGCUAAACCGUAAGGUGAUGUAUAGGGGCUGACGCCUGCCCGGUGCUGGAAGGUUAAGAGGAGUGGUUAGCUUCUGCGAAGCUACGAAUCGAAGCCCCAGUAAACGGCGGCCGUAACUAUAACGGUCCUAAGGUAGCGAAAUUCCUUGUCGGGUAAGUUCCGACCCGCACGAAAGGCGUAACGAUUUGGGCACUGUCUCAACGAGAGACUCGGUGAAAUCAUAGUACCUGUGAAGAUGCAGGUUACCCGCGACAGGACGGAAAGACCCCGUGGAGCUUUACUGUAGCCUGAUAUUGAAAUUCGGCACAGCUUGUACAGGAUAGGUAGGAGCCUUUGAAACGUGAGCGCUAGCUUACGUGGAGGCGCUGGUGGGAUACUACCCUAGCUGUGUUGGCUUUCUAACCCGCACCACUUAUCGUGGUGGGAGACAGUGUCAGGCGGGCAGUUUGACUGGGGCGGUCGCCUCCUAAAAGGUAACGGAGGCGCUCAAAGGUUCCCUCAGAAUGGUUGGAAAUCAUUCAUAGAGUGUAAAGGCAUAAGGGAGCUUGACUGCGAGACCUACAAGUCGAGCAGGGUCGAAAGACGGACUUAGUGAUCCGGUGGUUCCGCAUGGAAGGGCCAUCGCUCAACGGAUAAAAGCUACCCCGGGGAUAACAGGCUUAUCUCCCCCAAGAGUUCACAUCGACGGGGAGGUUUGGCACCUCGAUGUCGGCUCAUCGCAUCCUGGGGCUGUAGUCGGUCCCAAGGGUUGGGCUGUUCGCCCAUUAAAGCGGUACGCGAGCUGGGUUCAGAACGUCGUGAGACAGUUCGGUCCCUAUCCGUCGUGGGCGUAGGAAAUUUGAGAGGAGCUGUCCUUAGUACGAGAGGACCGGGAUGGACAUACCUCUGGUGUACCAGUUGUCGUGCCAACGGCAUAGCUGGGUAGCUAUGUGUGGACGGGAUAAGUGCUGAAAGCAUCUAAGCAUGAAGCCCCCCUCAAGAUGAGAUUUCCCAACUUCGGUUAUAAGAUCCCUCAAAGAUGAUGAGGUUAAUAGGUUCGAGGUGGAAGCAUGGUGACAU
rnacentral:rRNA from 1 species